ensembl:snRNA U6 U6 spliceosomal RNA
UUGCUUUGGCAGCACAUAUUCUAAAACUGGAAUGAAACAGAAAAUUAUCACGGCCCCCUGUGCAAAGAUGACACACAAAUUCAUGAAGCAUUCAACAUUUUU